GUGUCAGCAGCCGCGGUAAUACAGAGGGUGCAAACGUUGUUCGGAAUCACUGGGCAUAAAGCGUACGUAGGCGGCGCCGUAAGUGUCGGAUGAAAUCCCACGGCUUACCCGUGGAACGGUCCGGCAUACUGCGGUGCUAGAGGAUGGUAGAGGAGAGCGGAACUCUUGGUGGAGCGGUGAAAUGCGUAGAUAUCAAGAGGAACACCGGUGGCGAAGGCGGCUCUCUGGUCCAUGUCUGACGCUGAGGUACGAAAGCCAGGGGAGCAAACGGGAUUAGAUACCCCAGUAGUCC
rnacentral:rRNA from 1 species